CGGGUUGCUUUUCUCUUUUUUUUUUUUUUUCCUUUUUUUUUUUGGCUCACGUCAUGUGGUAGGGGCUUAGGGAUUCUCAUUGGAGAGGAGGACAGGGAAGCAGUCGAGCUGCACAGUGCUGAAGCCGGUGCUCCGGCGCGUGCUCACGCGCGUGGAUGGAGAGACCACGAGUUUCCUCCGUCGAAUUGAACUUUCUCAAGAUUCUACAGUGAGUCAAGGCAUAAAAGAUGAAAGAUUUAAAGGAUGCUUAUUCUCAUUCAGUAGUUCUGCAGUAUUUUGGAUGAGGUUCAAGAGAUGAUUACUUAAGAGACACUGGUGAGACCUGAUCUUAAGGUAAGUGUUGAUCCUUUUUCAAACUAUCGAUCAUGCUUGUACGAUAUUGAUUUUGCCCUGCUUGUGCGAUAUUUUUAAACAAUUGAAUUUAAAAAAUCUAGUCAUCCAGAACAGAUUUCCACCAUUUCAGGUAAAAGCUUUAUUUAUUGCCAGCUUGUUUGUUGAUACUGUGUUGAAUUUCAGCCAAUUUUUUUUUAGCCAUCUCUAAUAAAUAUAGUAAACUGAUAUUAAGUCUAUGCUUGUCUAAUGCUAGCUAAAUUGAGCAUAGAUUUCAUUUCUUAUUAGUGAACUCAAAAUAUUCUCUAUUUUCCUUGAUAGAAAUCGAGCAUGCCCUGUUGAGAGCACGUAAGAUAGUGCGAAGGGGGCGGGGCUUCAAGGCGAUGUCAGUUAGAGACAAUGACUGGCGUAUUUUUGAGUAAUAACUCAUACUAGGAUACUCCGAUGUUAAAUUGCGGACCUCCUACGCGAAAUACGUAAAAAGUCAUCAGGUCUGGUUAAACAAUAUAAUCGGUGAAAAGGUUAAUGGAUAUCACACACACUCACACACACAUCAUUUUAUCACACAAGCCUACUCCCUUUAUUUUAAUGUAAAGCUCUGGCACAUGAUAAAAUCCUCCCCAAAAGACAACUAUGUUUCAUGAAACACUGAGCACAGCACUGACCUGCUGACGGGAUUUACUCAUAUUUACUUACCUCUAAUAUCUCUGCUAGUUCUCACUGGGCUUCACUUUAACCUCUUUGAAACAAUUUAAUUCAUUUUCAAUCAAUUUUUGAAUCUGAAGUCAGUGAGGAGCCACUUGUCAUUAACCCGUAGAUCCGAUCUUGUGGUACAAUUUAACGGCACAAGCUCGUCUCUAUGGGUCUCUGUCUCUGUGGUAGACCAGCUUCUGGCUCGUGUCUUUGUAUAUACAUCUUAAAACUGGCUUUAAAUCAGUUCAGCCUAUUUACAUUUAUGGUGAGCCACAGUCGUGUAAGCCAAGAUCCUGAAACAAGAUAUAUUUACCUUUCAGUCUGAUCUUUUCGGAUUUUUUUUUAACUGUACUCAUUAAUUCCACAGUACGUGUGACACAGAAACACUCUAGAGCGAGUGAUCAUGAGUGAUGUGUGUGUGUCCGGGUUGAGGUAGUAGGUUGUAUGGUUUCGAAUGAUACCUUGGGAGUUAACUGUACAACCUUCUAGCUUUCCUUGGAGCUCACUAAAGUCGUCGAAGAAGACAGUGGAAAAACAAAAGUUUGGUUUGAGUGUAAAUAUGUGCGGCAUUUUUAAUUUGUGGUUAUGAGUGUUUGUGCAAAAGUAAUAGUGUCUAAGAGCAGUUUAUUAUGAAUUUCCUCUGAUAUAUAGAUGUAGUGCUUACAGUGCAAAGCUUUUUACUUAAACUUUCAUGUGGAGUUUGUGUGCAUAAUGCUGAUUAUUCACAGUGCUGUUGAAUGCUUGAUUCUGAUUGGCCCAAAGGAGUCUCCACUUUCCGUGCUUUGAAACAGUAAAUUUUCAGACACAGGAAUGUUUUCAGGACAGAGGACCUUACACUCUGUGGUUUCUCGGUAACGUGACAAGCUACGUUCUUUAUUGUGGAAAAAAAGGCAGGCUGAUGGAAUGGCUGUUUAUAGCUGUUUAUAACAUAAGUGAUAACAGGUACUAACUUUUUUUCAUGGAUGUUCCACAACAUUAAAUGUAACUAUAAACAGAUAAAAAGUAUGUCAUUGUUUGAGUAAGAAAUAAAUGUAAUUGGUGGCAAAUUGCUGUGGUGUAAAAGGAAUAAAACUUUUUGAGACAUGGAAAUUAAUUGGAUUAUUUGGAACUUUGAGGUGGCAACAAUGACUGAUUGAUUAUUUUCCUGUAACAGCACACACCCACGUGUUUUAUUUCUUACUUAUUGGCGAGCCUCUAUGAAAACCAUCUCUCAGUGGUUACAGGAAGUCACGAUAAACAAACACAACAAGUAGGUGGGUUCAGUUUGUGUUACAUUCCUGCCGUGUCUUUUUUGCACUCAUACCUGAUUACACACACCUGCUGGUUUUAUGUGUCUUUACUGUUCCUCAGGAACAUAGAUGUAUUUAUCAUUGGUCAUUUCAGAUAUUAUUUUGUUUCAGCUGCCUAAAUUCAAUACAACCCAUGAUCAGUACAUCCUCUGCUAACUAGCAAACACAGUUACUAGUGAAAAAAUCCAAUGAUGUCAUGUUUUCUUAAAUAACCUGCGUGCUCUCCCGUAGCCUUUAUAACUGCCUUCUGUGUCCUCUCAGUUGUAAGAUUCUGCACAUUUUUUCUUGUAAUUCUACCAGGUUGUCAUGCGUUGCCUUCUUCAGAUCAGGUCUGGAGACUCACAGGGUCAUGAGAAAGAUCCUUUCAAAUGAUUUGUCUGUUGAUUUUGCAUUAUAUUUUGGAUUUUGUUGUAGAUACAGUUAAAUUUCAUUUUUAAAAUUCUCCUAUGAGGAUACAAACUUUUGCACUCUGAUGUAAUAUAGUAUAAAUUUUCUAAAUUGACUGACAUGAAGAGUAUUUUAUUUGGAUUAUUAUUUUUUCCCUGUAAUCCCUGCAGAUCAGUUUAGACUAGCAUAGUGAAUGAUUAGUAAUAAGAAUAUAUAAUAUUUUAUAUAUAUAUAUUAUAUACGAGGUUCUUUACCUCGACUGUACUGGGUCUGACUGUUAUAGCAGUAAGUAUACUUUACCAUCACUGGAAUUUAGAGCACAAAUCAAUGCUUUUUUUCUAGGGAUGUAUCAAUACCAUUUCUUUCCCAGACCUGGUACAUGUCUUUGGUACUCGUCAAUACCAAAAAUGACUAACCUACUUUGUAUUAAGCAAUCAGUGGUAUUUUGGUGCUAGCAAUGAGUUGCUCAUGCUGUGUUUUAUGUUUAAGAUGAUAUGGUGUUUAAACAGUAUCUUUAAAAUUAAGUGUCUUUAAAACUAAACUGUAGUUGUUGAAAUUAAUUUAGGUUUACUAGCAUUGCAAAAAAUUAGGUUACUUACAUUGUAGGAAGAUGCUGUAGUUCCUCCUCUUGAUCGUUAAUCUUUAAGUACAUCCAGAUCAGUAUGAGUAAAAAAAUGCAUCGAAAUGCAAAAGUAUCGAACCUUUACCCAAUAGCAGUAUCUGUAUCAAUGUAUCUAUACUUAUUAUAUAAUAAUAAUAAUAUUAAUAAUAAUUUUGUUGAUGAUGUUAUUGUGGUUAAGGUUAAUUAACAUACCCCAAACCAAACAAGUACCAUUUCUCCCCUGAAAAACUUCAAUGCAAAAUAAAAAUGUUGAUCAUUUCAACACAUUCUGUAACCAUUAUGAUUAGAACUAUGAUUAGAAGACUCUUUACAUUAAACAUGAAUCAGAUUUAAAAAAAAAAAAAAAAAAACUCUCUCUAAGUAUUUGCCUAGUUCAGAUUGUAUUUCUGAAAAGUUCAACAGCUGAACUUUUUUCUUUGUCGUUUAUCACUGAAAGCUGCAUGGUUUGGAAGAGGGGCCUAUAGGUGCUCUUAUAUAAAAGAUAUUUAAGCUCGUUUGUUCAGAUGAGUCGUUUUACUUUCACUUUAUAAGCGAAAUGUUUGGGCGGCUCUGAGGUGUCAUCGAUUUGUCUGGAGCGAGACCUUUUGCUGCUGUGUCAGAAAGCUUCAUAGAUCAAUGCAGACUUGCCCUUUAACCUCUCAAAUAAAUCAAUUGGAUUGAGCUGGAGGGAUCUUGGCUCAGUUGAUAGAAUGGCAGGGAGUUUAAUGUGACCAGGCUGAACACUAUUAGAGCUUGAAGACUGCUGUGACUGAAAGGUUUUUUUUUCUUUUUUUUUGAUAGAAUGGCAAGGAGUUGUUAUUUUCAUGACUUCAUCUCUGCAUUGUUACUCUACACAUGCUCUGGCUAAAUCUUGGGCAGUGCUUAGACGUGCUUUCUGAAAUCUCUGCAGCAGCCAUUUGGAUGUCGCCUGCAUAUCAUCAAUGUGUCCUGCAGUAAUUGGGAUUGCAUGGGGAAGUUUGUUUUCCACUGGCAGUCUAAAAUAAAACACUUCAGAAGGUGCUGUUUCAGGACAGUAAUCAAUGACAGGUGGUGAAAUUCGGCCCAGGACCUUGAAGUUUAUUAUUUUCCAAUUACAGCAUGUCCUGAAGUGUUUUACUCCUCUUAUACUAAAGCAAUUUACCAAGAAUUUUUUUUUUUAACUUAUUAAAGAAUACAUUUUUAAAAUCAGUAUAUAGUCACCUUUACUGCUGUGGAAUGUCCAUGAAAACAAUUUAGUUCUUUACUUACAUCAUAUCAGUUAUAUCAUUAUGUCUCUUGAGUUCAUAAUAAGACAAAAGAAAUGCAGCUUGCCAGGUUACCCAGAGCUUUUUUUUUUUCCAUCCCUGUCAUAUCAUUGGUUUUGCUCUCCAAAUGUGUGCACCUGCUCUGUGUUUAGCCCUUAAUUAGUUUGUCUAUUUAGACACUGCUGUUUCUGUGUUUAGUUGCGAAGUCUUACCAUGCAUUUCUGUAUCUUUAAGUACUAUAGAAACAAUAAAGUGUUAGAACAAGCACAUUUAUUAUAAACCUGUGAUUAGCUGCUGAACUACCACCAUAGAAAAUUAACCGUCUGACCAAUCAGAAUUGAGAAUUUAACAGCGCUGUGGUAUAAAAUGAAAUAAUACACUGGCUAAAAUUAACUGUGCAUGUGUAACAGUGUCCAGAGUCUCUUGCGCAAGAACGAUUUUAAAAAUCUACACCACACAGUGACAGCUCAUUUAUUUAAUUCUUCAUUUAAGCUGUCUCUCUCUCACACACUCACACACACAAGCCCCAUAGCUUUAGCUAUUAACUCAGGAAAUAUGUGGUGAAACACCCCCCGUAUGGGGCAAUCAUUUUGGGUAUAAAAAAAAAAUACCAAGCAAUUUGAUAAAUUUCUUUAUAUUAAAAAAAAAGGACGUAAUAGGAAACCUCAUAAUUGGUUAAUUAUAAGGAUCAACAAGGUUAUAAAUGGAAGCAAACAUCACUGACAGCAAAUUUCACUUACUUUAAAGCACGAAGGUAAUUCAGCCCAAAAAAAUACAAAGAACAACAUUGCCAGUAUUAACCUUCUUCACUUGCCAGACCUACCGCAGAACUGCAGAACUAUUGUGCAUUUUGCAAAUAUUUGGAGUAAUGAGGUGGUCAUGAGGAGGUUCACUACUGUCACAGGGAAAUUUAAUUCUUUUGGUAAAGAGGAAAGAAAGAACCAGAAUAGAAAAUAUAGUUCAACAUCAAUCUUAUCAAGCUUAGCUAAUACGUUUUUCAGUAACACUUUACUUAAUUAAUGCUUAAUUAGUAGUAAGUAACCAAGUGUUACCAUAAUAGUUACUAAUAUUUCCUUUUUUUAAAAAAAAAUAAUUACUAAAGACUAAAGUGUAGUAACUCUUCUUGUAUUAAUUGUUUCAUGGCUCCUUAAUUAAUGCUUACUAAUGUCUUUAAUUACUCCUGAAUGGAAUAAAACAUUAAUGCUAAUGAAAGAUUGAUCAGUUAGUAAGUAAUCUUAAACAGUUGUGGUACACUGUAAAGUUUUGCCAGUUUUCCCAAUUUCAUUAGUUAGACUAUAAUUUCUAAACUGCGUCAUAGCACACUGACCUACAUAAACAGACAUGGACAGGCAUCGUAAAGAUCCAAUAAAACCACAGUAAGGAAAAAGUUGUGUUUUGUGGUAAUAUAUAGGUAUAGCUGUAUACAGCCAUAUAUAAGAACAAUUACACUGAAAAUGAAUUUCUUAGGUAUUGCUAGUUAAAUGUUUGCAAAUAGUAUAGUAGUUCUGCAGCAGGUAAUAAACAAAAUCAUUGUUCAAGGGAUAUUAACAUGAUGCCUUGCCAAUACUUUGAGGUUUUCCCCAUUUAUUUUCCUGCUUCCACACAGCACACUGCAGUGAAAUUUAGCUUUACUCCUUUCCAUUCUGUUGCUCCAAAUACCUUUCUGAUUAUAAGGUUGUAGCACACACUUGCACAGUUAGUACCUUGAAUUCUAGACUGCAAAAGGAAGGGUUACCAAAUAUAUUGAUUUAUUUUAAAUAUUUUGUGACGAGAGCCAUAUCAAAUUGGAAAAUGAGAUUCUGUUAUCGAUAGAGAGCUUUUUAAGAAAACUGACUGAUGCAUUUAAUGACUUUCCGAAGCUGUGCAAGGCCAAAUAUUUAUGGAAAAGCUACAGAGUAAUACAGCCCAGGAGUGAAAAGGCUGUAGAGCUGAAAUAUACAUGAUGCAAUGAACUGUUAAUGUAUAAAGAUGAGGCCGGAGAUUUUGCAGACAUCGAGGCAGAGGCAAUAAUAGAGCUGAUUGAUUACAGCAACUAGUUUAAAGCUCAUAUUGAUUUCAUUUGCUUUAAUAUUCCCUUUGGCCCUGUGGAGACUUCAGUGUGUGCAGGCUGGAGGAAAAUGAACUUGGACUUCAGUUAUGUCACAUGGGGUUGUGAAAAAUUACACACUGACAUUUAGAGGACUGUAUACACUGUAUACUUCAGGGACACAUGACACAGAAAAUUAAUUGAAUCAUACUAUAUAAUGACAAGCUAAAUAAAUUCAGUCGAUAAUUUAAUUGAGAGUGUUUUGCACUAAUAAUGUUGAACAUAUUGUGUUUUUUUUUAACUGAAAAGUAAGACAAAAAAAAUGUUCUUGGUUGUCAUGAUGAAAAUAAAACAUUAACAAAAUACUUUUGUUACAACAAACAAAAAUGCUUCCUGAUUAUUUUCCAAUAACAGCACAUCCUGAAGUGGUUUAUUCUGCUUAUACCACAACAAUUUACACAUUUUUAUGUAUUCCAGAAUGACACUUAAUACAUUUUAUUCAUUUAUAGUUACAUUUAUAGUUUUAUCCAUUUAUAGUUACAUAAUGUUGUGGAACAUCCAUAAAACAAGUUAGUUCCCAUUAUCACUUAUGUUAUAACAGCUAUAAACAGUUCUCAGAAUGUAUGAGGAAAUGUAGAUAGAUAGUUUCCCUAACAAAUAGAAACAGGAAAAUGGAUAGACAGUAAGCUUUAUAUCCAUCUUUGCAAAUAAAUUUAUGUAAUUUUACAAUUAUCUUUAUUUAUUGAGAUUCAUUUAUACAAGAGCUAGAGAGGUCUAAGUGUUUACAAAAGACAAUUUCAAACCUUUUUUUCCCCCUAACACAAUACAAAAGGCAAUCAGUUACGAAAGGACAAAUUCAACCUUAAAGCUCAUAAACAAUAAUGCAAAAACUACCAAAAAUUAUACAAAAGCUACUCAGUGCAAAGUAAGUGGAGAGAAAGUUAAAGUGUUAUCCUGGAUACUGUUUGAAGAGGAAUGUCACAGGGCUGUCACAGGUUUAAACUCCUUCCACUAAUGAAGAAGUGAGAUCUUGCAUUAUGGGGAGAAGAACAUGCCAGGAGCUCAAAGCUCUAAGACCUGAGCUAGCAUGGAGGUGUAGUUUUGAACUGUGCAUAGAAAAUGUAGUGCAGAGCUUUUUGAUUUUGAUUCUUGCUGCAACAGGAAGCCAGUGGAGUGACCUCGGUUCCUCAGCAGGGGGUAGACAUGAGAGAACUUUGAGAGGUUAAAACCCAGGCAAGCAAAAAUGCACCGAAUGCUCUGUAGAGAAGAAAUCUGAAAAAGAGAGCUGAAGUAGUCAAGGGUAGAAAUACCUAGAGCUUGUCUAAAAAAAAGUUAGUGUAAAAAAAGAAUGUGUAGUCAGGAAAAAGUUGUGAUCUUCUGAUGUUAUGAAGAAGAAACCUGCUGGUGGUUGAUGUGAUAUGAUUGGAGAAAUUAAAAACAGUUUCUAAAGACAAGUUGUUGUUUUUUAUUUUAAACAAAAUAGUUAGACAGACAAUUAGAAAAUCUCAAAGAUUUAUUAAGCAAUUUAGGCAAGUAAAAAGGAAACUGGGAAAUAACUGGGAAAGAUAGUCCACCUGGAUAAGCUAGAUUUUUCAGCAUGGCAAUGUAAUGCUGCAGAUCUUGAGAUUCUUGAUGCAUCUUUUCAUUGGAUAAAAGGUUAGAAGCUAAAGUUCGAACCUCCCCUGCUAGCCAGACUCCUGACCUCUUUCCUUCACAGACCUCCAUUAGAUCUAUUCCAACAUUAAAUUAUUAAAACGUUAUUGAAUGUAGCAAUGUUAUUUAUUUUUUUAUAAAAUGUUUUAACCUCCCAGAAAUCCUUCUGUGUUUUGUAAUGUAAUGUUAGGCUAAUAUAAUGCUAAUGAGCUAGAACUAGCAUCUCUCAUAAUGCCCCACCAAAGUCGCUCAAGUGGGCGUGUUUAGUUUUAUCAAUUGUAUGUAAUGCAAUAAAUGUGCUCCCUAGUGUACUGUUAUUAAAUGCACACUCUGCGCAUUAAUAUAAACCUGUGAUUUAUAGCUGCACUAGUGUCAGAGCUCAACACUUGGUUGAGCUCAGAGCUUCUGACCAAUCAGAAUCCAGAAUUCAACACCACUGUGGUACGUGUGGAUAUUAAGGAUGAAACUAUUAGGGGCAAAUAUUUAGGUUUCUAGAAUGCAAAUUGUUAAGUAGGUGCAGUUUUUUAAUCAAAUGAAUAGACAAUAAAACUAACUAUAACCAUCUAACCAAACGUAAAUAAGAUUAUUAUGUAUUUUUGACACAAGAAUAACACUAAAUUGUAAUUAGGUCUCAUAAUUAAUACUGGAAAACAUUUCUUGUCAUUUAUCACUUCUUGUCAUUUAGACGUACUCUCUCCAGAGCUGUCGGGACACAGAGGAAAAUCUGUGUGAUUGGCAAAAAGCAGAAUAUAUAGAUUGAGAAAGGACUUUGUUACAAUCUUCAUAAACAAGCUCUUUAAAAAAACCAAGAAGGUGUGUAAGAGCUUAUGAAACAGAUGCUCUUGGCUUUUUAUGCGACGCAUGCCUGUGUUUGAGAAGCAGCUCGUGUCUCGCCGACGCUCUGCAACCUCCAGACGCUGCAGGACAGGGUGACGGAUGGCUCACGCGAGCCAAUAGCUGCAGACGAAGGGGUGGGAACUACCUGCUCAGUCCACUCGUCUCCGCCACCCCUCCCCCCCUCCCCCCCCAACAGAUCAUCAGACCAGCCUGUGUCUGAUUCAGCAACCAGCUCCAGCUCCAGCGUUCACCUCCAAACCCGAGUCCCUGAAAGACGGAUGCGCUGACAAUGACGACAACGGCGUCUCGUAAAUCGGCCGGGAAUCCAGAGGUAAAUUGAUGAUACGUUGACGAUAAUCUGGUCAUUCCAUCGAGAGUCACCACGCUGAGCCUCAGGGGAGUAUGGACCAUAAGACUGCGGGGGCCAGAGGGUAAAGGGGGAGGAGCUGGAGAGGUGAUGAGAAUAGCAUCACUUUUGUUUUGGCUAGAUUGCCAUUCCAGAUGGGAACGAUUUCUUUUAAGCAUAAUUGAGCAUAUUAAGGAGUGCUGGUGGAAUAGCUUGGGGGGGGGUUGACGCUUAAAUCCCAGCAGCUGCUUAGCACAUCUGUAUGUACUACCACUGUCUCAGUGGCAGCACCUGCAGUGACAACUCGAGACGUCUCGUAGAGUUUGGAUUGAUUCACGUAAAAGAAAAUGUGUUAGUGCGUGAUGAUUCGGUGUCCUCGUUCACCCUUGUUUAAUUUUGACGGUUCGAUGACGGAUGUCACUUUGAGCUUCUGGUGGAUGUGACCAGACCAGGGUUAGAGGGCAGGACGAAUUAAAAGAGGACAAAGGGGAAGGACUGGCCGUCUGGAGGAGAAUGAGACAGCAAAGGGGGUGGGGGUGAUGGUGGGGUGAUGGGGAGGCUCUAGCUGCAGACCUUUAACUGCACAGAGAUGCUUGACAUCAUCAUUCGAAUUGGAAAAUUGGGAAGAAAAAAAAACGAGUGUAAGUCCAGCUGCAUGUAUUCUUCCAUUUUCAUUCUUCCAUUUGGUCUCAACAGUUCUGCUUCUUACAGUGACUAGCAUAGCUUUAAGUCUGGAAGAGGGAUGAUUCUGCUUUUCCUCUCCAUCUCCUCUUUUCUCUUUACACAGGACGAGUGCGGCAGUCGCAGACCAGACGAAGACUUCUGGCUCAGCAGACAGCAUCAGCGAUGGCGGAUAUACGUGAGUUCACUCACGUCUGCCUUUCUCCUGUUCCCUGAGACCCUAACUCGUGAGCUGUUUCUCCAAAAAAAUCACGGGUCAGGGACUUGGGGCUCGGGUGGAGGGCUUUAGCGACCCGACCACAAGCCAAAUGCAAAACACACACAGAAGAUAUUUAUCAGACGUAUCAGAUUUACUGCCUUUUACGAGCAACAAGCUGCAAAACGCCAGUUAUCGAUGAAUCUGCAGCCUCAGCAAAUAAUGUCAGGAAUUCAACAAGCAUUCGACGUGACCAAGAAUCUGAAUGCUAGUCAUAACACAUUGGUUUAUUGAGAGUGCAAUCAAUUGUGCAUCUCUCUGGUUAGAGCUCACACAGGCAGUGUAGUUUUUGUAACCAAAGAUGGAUUUUGUGACUCUUUCACAAGCAAAGCUAAUGCAGCAUGAAGUGUGUUAAAAGAAGAAUUUACAGGAAUGUAAUACGAAUGUAAUACAGAGGAUUCACUGCCAGACAUUUGGUUCUCAUUAAAGUGCACUAAAAAGAACAUAUGGACAACCCAGGAGAGGAUUUAAAGCUCAGAGAGUUUACAGAAAAACUGUAAGAACUGAGGUACAGAUAUUAAACACAGCCUGACCUCUCAGUUAUGGAAUUAUAACGGGGUCAAGUGGCUUGCUCUAUCUAUCUAUCUAUCUAUCUAUCUAUCUAUCUAUCUAUCUAUCUAUCUAUCUAUCUAUCUAUCUAUCAAACAGUUAAAUCUAUCUAUCUAUCUAUCUAUCUAUCUGUCUAUCUAACAGUUAAAUCUAUCUAUCUAUCUAUAUAAUUAAAUCUAUCUAUAUGUAUGUCUGUCUGUAUGUCUGUCUGUCUAUACAAAAGUUAAAUCAAUAUGUCUAUCUAUCUAUCUAUCUAUCUAUCUAAUUAAAUCUAUCUAUAUGUAUGUAUGUCUGUCUGUCUAAACAGAAGUUAAAUCUAUCUAUCUAUCUAUCUGUCUGACUGUCGGUCUAUCUGUCUAUCUGUCUAUAUACAAAUAUCCAUCCAUCUGUCUAUCAAUCUAUUUAUCUUUCUGCCUAUGUAAAUGUUAAAUCCAUCCAUCCAAUCCAUCUUCAAUCUUAAAAAAGGUUGAAUCUAGAAUAAUCUAGAAUAUUUAAGAAUUCUGUGGUUGUUUCUCUGGAGGAAUCCUUAAACCUUCUUUUCACUAACAGAAAGCACGCCAAGCAGAAACCUUUAAUAAAGCUAAGAACCCAUAACUAGCUGAAGAUCCCUUGAAGAUCCACUGAGGGAUUCUUUUCCUAAGAGUUUAUAGUACCUACUUUUGUAAAACUAGUGGCACGUUAGUGUCUUUGGUUUCGUCUGAUUGUCUGUGCAGGUGAAACGAGCUUGGACAUGUUUUGUGUCUGUGUAUAUCUGGAAAUAAUGACUUGUUUAUUAGAGUUCUACUGUUAUACCAUUCUUAAUUUCAGAUUAUUUAUUGUACCUAGAUAAAAUCCAAACACAUUGAUGUUUAUCUCUGUAAAUUAUGUAAUUAAAGUAGAUCAUGCCUCCUG